ACUGUAAAUCUUUUUUUUUUUUUUGUUGAAAUAAACAAGUGAAACAAUUGUCUAUUUAAUUGUUAGUAAUCAAUUGAGUAUCAGAUAAAAGCAAGUUAACAUGGGUGAGAAAAUAUUUAUUGAAUUCUAAACUAUUGACAAGCUUUCAUAUUGAGAGUGAUAAUAAUAGUUCACUGUCUUCUAUUCAUUAACCAAUGAAGAAAGGCUUCUUAAAGAAGUGUCUAAAAGUUAAUUUUUGUAUAUCUUGUCUCUCUCUAUAUGUAUAUGUAUCACAAGCGCUGUACAAAACUACAUCUCACAGAGAUAUGUUACAUUGCUUGUCAUUUGAACUUAGGAACUUCUUUUUUUUUUUUAAUAAUUACUUUCUUUUAUCAACUUUGAUACAAUUAUCUAGCACUAGAUUCUUAAAAAUUGAAACAUUUUUUACCAUUGAGCAGAACAGAAUUUUGAAAUGAUAUCUCUUGAUUCACUUAUAACAAACAUUAUGCAUGAAAAUCUUAUAUCAACAGUGGCAAAAAAUGAACACAAUAUUGCCUGUUGUGUUCCAAAGUACUACUGCUAUGUUUAUGCCAACUAAAGACUUUUUGUGAUGUCAUAAGUAAAAAAAAAAAAGUAAAACAAAAAUGUGGUACAGAUAUAAAAAUAUACACUGGAAUUAUACAUGAAAAUAAACUUAAUUAGAAUUAAGCAGAAGUGAGAAUAAUGUCUUCAUUUCUAAUAUCAAAAAAUUUGUUAGGUGUAUAAACAAAAACAAGUUAAAAACAUUCGUAAAAUUAUAAAAGUGUCAAGUUAAUAAGAUCUAAAUAAAGAAUAAAAAAAAAUUAACAUUAAUAUAAGUCAAAAAUGAUACACACAAAAAAUUAUGGCUAUUGCUUGAAAUAUUUUUAAUCGCACUGUAAACAAAAAGUUGAAUUAAAAAAAGGAAUUUAUUGAAAUGAAACAAAAAAAAAGGAUAAUGCUUUCACAACCCUCAUUGUAAACAAUUUGAAAAAGUCACUGUGUCAGCAUUUCACAAAGUCAUGGAGUCAACAUUUCACAAAGUCACGGUG